UAGAGAAAGAAAAUGGCAGCUGGACCUCCACCAGCUUACCAAGUACCAAACGCAGAGAACCUGCAGCAUGGUCCCAACACUGGGGCGGUUAACUCCGGGCAGGAUCCAGGAAUGUAUGGCACCAGCCACGAGCCAGGAUCCUCAUUCCGUCCCCAGCAUCCCCUCUUUACCCGGCCUGUCUUCGCUGUCCAUGCUCCACCUCCACCCCCACCCCCUUUCUUCCACUACCAGUGGCCCAUGCCCUUCCCCUAUAACCCCUUUGCUGGCUUCCCAGGCAUGGGCUAUGGUAUGGUCAUGUCCCCCUUCCCUCCCCCCUACAUGGACGCUCCAGCCUACAUCCUACCACAUCCUCGGGCCUUACCUGUUGACUACAGACGCCCGUUUAACCCCCGGGCUCCUCCUGCUGCUCCCCAACCGAACCCAAUCCAAGCCCAGAGAGUCUGCCUGCCUCAAACCUGCAUUAGACAAACGGUGAGCUCAGGGGUGCAAACAGAACCCCCACGGAGAGGCGUAGGAAGCUAUGAUGAGGGUUGCCCACUUGUCAACACGGAUUCUGGGACAGGAAGUGCCUCAGAAUCUCCAUCCUCCUCGCACUCAGCCGAGGUUGAAAACGACGCGUUGCCCCACAGUAAUCCAAACGAUGGCUUCAAAAUCAUACACCCUUCAGCGAUGCCUGCCGUCAAGUCAUGGAGAAGAGCAAUAGAAGAAAUUCACUCGAGGACUGAAGGCGCUGUUGGCCGGGAGCUGCCUCAUGUCCCACCUUGCAGAAAUGGUCACCGCAAUAUGUCUUCAGUGAGUUCUCCUGAUAGCUUGGUUCCAUUGUGUAGCUCCCCUCAAAGAAAGGAUGAGGCUGCCCAGGAGAGACGAGUCUCUGUUCCUGACAUUCUGAUGAGCUCAGGAGGAGGCACACCGUUGCAGUCAUUAGACACAUCCCUCAACCUCUAUGACAAAGAAAAUGGCACUGAGAAGAACCCACAUGAAGAGACCACAGAGAUGAUUCCCAAUAUAACAUUGCUAAAUAGCAGUCGGAUGACAAAAACCCUAAAUGAGUCUGUGUGGUCCGUGGAGUCUCUGGCCCCAUAUUACCCCAGUAAGGAGUGGCUGUGGCAAAAUGGCCUUUUUGAGUCUGAAGUAUUUGAAAAGGUAGAGGAGGCUGAAAAUGGUGGAUUGUCAACCCAAAAUCACAACCUAAUGGUCCAAGAAGGCAAAGAAAGGAGGCUGUCUCGUGUGUUUUCCCCUCCUGACUUUGUAACUUCAGAGAGCAGCAUCGUUUCCAGCACCCCAGCUGGCCAGCCGAAUCCUUCUCCGAAGAAACCAGAAGCUGAGGUUCCUGAGAUGAGGAACCCAGAGGAAGGCCGAGGGACACCUCUUCCAGAAAAGUGUUCUUUAGCUCGCCCCGCUUUUCUAUUAUCUACCCUCACAGAAGAGGACCUGGAUGACAACCGGUCCUCUAACCCAGAGGCUAAUAAAAGGCCAAAACAGGAAUCUGAACAUGAGCAGCAGGAGGAACGCCCCAGCUGUGAGAAAGUCCUUAAUUCUGCAGAAGAGACAAACUCAUCCCCAGAUGGAGUGGCCGUUCACAGCGGCAUCCAGUGUGAGCUUGGGUGCGAGAAGUUGAAGGACAAAGUUCAAGCCCAUGAAAGGCAGCACUGUAAAGCUCCAGGUGAUGCGCUCUUAAAAUCCACAAUGUUUUAUCUGUGCACUUAACAAGGAAAG
ensembl:lncRNA